UACGUAGGGCGCAAGCGUUGUCCGGAAUUAUUGGGCGUAAAGAGCUCGUAGGCGGCUUGUCGCGUCGACUGUGAGAACCUGCAGCUCAACUGUGGGCUUGCAGUCGAUACGGGCAGGCUAGAAUUCGGUAGGGGAGACUGGAAUUCCUGGUGUAGCGGUGAAGUGCGCAGAUAUCAGGAGGAACACCGGUGGCGAAGGCGGGUCUCUGGGCCGAUAUUGACGCUGAGGAGCGAAAGCGUGGGGAGCGAACAGG
rnacentral:rRNA from 1 species